GUGCUCGCUUCGGCAACACAUAUGCUAAAAUUGGAAUAACACAGAGAAGAUUAGCAUGGCCCCUGCAAAACCAUGACACACAAAUUCAUUAAACGUUCCAUAUUAAA